UACGUAGGGUGCAAGCGUUGUCCGGAAUUAUUGGGCGUAAAGAGCUCGUAGGCGGUUUGUCGCGUCUGCUGUGAAAACGCGGGGCUCAACUCCGCGCCUGCAGUGGGUACGGGCAGACUAGAGUGCAGUAGGGGAGACUGGAAUUCCUGGUGUAGCGGUGGAAUGACGCAGCUAUCAGGAGGAACACCGGUGGCGAAGGCGGGUCUCUGGGCUGUAACUGACGCUGGAGGAGCGAAAGCGUGGGUAGCGAACAGG
rnacentral:rRNA from 1 species